AAGUCGUAACAAGGUCUCCGUUGGUGAACCAGCGGAGGGAUCAUUACCGAGUCACGUGCUCAAACAACCCUUCUGUGGACCUGAAUUAAACCGUUGCCUCGGCGGGCGGUCCCCUGCCAAAACCCCACGUGGGUGUGGGCAGGGGACCAGACAGUCCGGUACGCUUAAGGCGUCCCGGCGCCAGCCGCUGGCCCUAAACAAUUAAACUCUAGUAACUUUACCUUCUGAGUUUUAAUGCAAAAAAUAAGUCAAAACUUUCAACAACGGAUCUCUUGGCUCUG
rnacentral:misc_RNA from 1 species